rnacentral:rRNA from 1 species
GACGAACGCUGGCGGCGUGCUUAACACAUGCAAGUCGAACGGAAAGGCCCUGCUCUUGCGGGGCGCUCGAUUGGCGAACGGGUGAGUAACACGUGUGUAACCCGCCCUUGACAUUGGGAUAACUUCAGGAAACUGGGGCUAAUACCGGAUAGGAGCUCCUGCUGCAUGGUGGGGGUUGGAAAGUUUCGGCGGUUGGGGCUGUUCUCGAGGCUUAUCAGCUUGGUGGUGGGGUAGUGGCUUACCAAGGCUUUGACGGGUAGCCGGCCUGGGAGGGUUACCGGCCACAUGGGGACUGAGAGACGGCCCAGACUCCUACGGGAGGCAGCAGUGGGGAAUAUUACACAAUGGGCGGAAGCCUGAUGCAGCAACGCCGCGUGCGGGAUAACGGCCUUCGGGUGGUAAACCGCUUUCGAAUGUGACGAAGCGUGAGUGACGGUAAUGGGUAAAGAAGCAACGGCUAACUACGUG